rnacentral:rRNA from 1 species
UCUCUGCCACACCCACCAAGACCUUAAAUAGAGGAUCUUGUUUAACAGUUUACAUCAGAAAGAGCCAGUUGUUUUAGACAAAGCUACCCUUUGCAUUUAAAUCAUUCAGAGAUUUAACUUUUUGACACUUUUGAGCUUUAAACCUUUAAAGAAAUGUCACAGGGAAGUGGAGAUCAGUCAGACCCACUGCAGCGUACGAGAGAUGAACUCAGGCAUGAAAACGCACAACUCAGGGAAGGAAACGCACGACUCAGUGAAAUGUGCAUAGAAUUCAGUCACAAUGUCACACAACGCAGUCUAGAAAACACACGACUCAGUCGAGAAAACGCACAACUCCUGUUCAUUGAUCUGAGCAUGCGCAGAAUGAUCCACAGCGCUCAUUUUAUCUUCUCAAAGGAUCAUCGUGACGUCACGGUCGACAUCCCAUUCUCUGCCACACCCACCAAGGGUUAGGGUUAAAUAGAGGAGCUCCUUUAACAGUUUGGACAAAGCUAACUUUUGCAUUUAAAUACUUCAGAGAACGUAUUUAACUUUUUUGACAUUUGUUCGAGCUUUAAACCUUUAAAGGAAUUGACGGAAGGGCACCACCAGGAGUGGAACCUGCGGCUUAAUUUGACUCAACACGGGAAACCUCACCCGGCCCGGACACGGAAAGGAUUGACAGAUUGAUAGCUCUUUCUCGAUUCUGUGGGUGGUGGUGCAUGCCCGUUCUUAGUUGGUGGAGCGAUUUGUCUGGUUAAUUCCGAUAACGAACGAGACUCCGACAUGCUAACUAGUUACUCGACCCCGUGCGGUCCGAGUCCAACUUCUUAGAGGGACAAGUGGCGUUCAGCCACACGAGAUUGAGCAAUAACAGGUCUGUGAUGCCCUUAGAUGUCCGGGGCUGCACGCGCGCCACACUGAGUGGAUCAGCGUGUGUCUACCCUUCGCCGAGAGGCGUGGGUAACCCGUUGAACCCCACUCGUGAUAGGGAUUGGGGAUUGCAAUUAUUUCCCAUGAACGAGGAAUUCCCAGUAAGCGCGGGUCAUAAGCUCGCGUUGAUUAAGUCCCUGCCCUUUGUACACACCGCCCGUCGCUACUACCGAUUGGAUGGUGUGAGGUCCUCGGAUCGGCCCCUGGCGGAGCGCCGAGAAGACGAUCAAACUUGACUAUUUAAAGAAAUGUCACAGGGAACAUUGAAUAAUCCAUC